rnacentral:lncRNA from 1 species
ACUCCAUAACCGGCCCACAGCCCAUUAGGGUUUUACCUUAUUCUCUGUAUCCUGCUAUUAUCCUUGUAUAUAUAUCCCUUUUUCUAUUAAUGAAAGACACAGUUCACAACACGUUAUCAGCACAUAAGCUCGAAAAAAAAAAAAAAAAAAAAAAAAAACCCUAACCCUAAACUUGACGAGCCCUAGCCGCCGAGCAAACAAAAGCCUUCGCCGUUUUCGUCCGUUUCCGAUCUCAUCUUUCACGUCGAGGUAAGUAACCUCAAGUUUAAUAUAUAAAACGAUCCACUCAUACUUUCUAAACAGAUCGUUCUUGCAUGAUUGUUAUUGCAUGAUUGUUUGUUUGGUUCAUGUUUUGUUUAUUUAAUCGUUGCAUAAGAUUGUUUGAAUAUUAUUAUGUUCAUAGUCUCAUAUAAUAUAUUUUACUACUAAAAGCAUCUAAGUCUACGUUUGAUUCAUGUAGUCAAUAUUGUCAUGCUUAAUUAAUUAAGAUACAAAACUGAUCCAUGCUUUCGAUCGUUGUUUAUCAUUGCAUUAGAUCUGUUCAUAUAAUAUAUUAUUUUAUUAUUAAAAGCACCUAAGUCUAUGUUAUUGAUCUUCCUAGUUAUUAUAGUCAUGUUGUAUUAAUUAAUUCUCAUAAGAAAACAAUAUUACUUUGCACGUUUGAUAUGUCGGAGUCGUAGAUUGAUUGAUACUCUACGUUUAACAUAUUUCAAUUAUUAUUUAAUUCAUCACGUUAUUGCUAUAAAUUUGAUUCAUAAUUGAAUUAUGCUUAACUGUUCUAAGACCAAAUAUUAUAUAUAGUAUUUCAUCUAAUUAUAUUUGAGUAUUGAUCAUUGCUAAUUUGCCAUUAAGAGUCGUAAGUCAAUCGCUAUUACUUACGUAUUAAAAUUGUUUAUAAUAAUCUGUGAAAGAGUAAUUAUAGUCACACGCUACGAUUGAGUUAUAAAUUGAUUGAUAAUCAUAAAUUUAGCAUAUUAAAGUUAUUAUUCAUCAUAUACGCGGUUAAACCGGUUUGCUUGAUUGUUCUCUCAUACCACCUCCAUAAAUAUAAACCCUAAUCGCGAUUUUAAUCGUGAAAACCAAACCGCUAUUUCCGUUUUUAACCGAAACCUUAAUCGAAACCUUAACCAGAACAUAACCGGUUUGAUUAACCGGUUUGAUUAACCGGUUUAAUCCUAAUCGCGAUUUUAAAAUGCGAUACCCUAACUGCAAGUUGCGGUUUGAUUAUAGACCUAAAACCGGACUUAUGUUUGGUAUAAUCCAAAAGAAAACCGAAACCCUAAAUCCUCGAUUAAACCGGUUUUAAUAAACCCUAAGUCACGGUUUAAGAUCAAGUUUCCCAUAUAAGGAAAGUUUCCAUAAAUAGAAAAUCUCCAUAAAUAGAAAGUUCCAUAUAAGGAAAGUUUCCAGAAAUAGAAAGUUUUCAUAAAUAGAAAAUCUCCAUAAAUAGAAAGUUUCCAUAUAAAGAAAGUUUACAGAAAUAGAAAGUUUCGUAAAAUAGCAAGUUUCCCAAAAUAAAAGGUUCCCUAAAAUAGCAAGUUUCCCAAAAUGGAAAGUUACCAAAAUAGGAAACGCCUUCAUAAGGAAAUAUUCCAAAACCCUAAAGUACAUAAUUGUUUAGGAUUUCUUUCUAGAUGAGAAAUAGAAAUUUUCCAUAAAAGAAAAGUUCCAUAUAAGGAAAGUUUCCAUAAAUAGAAAGUUCCAUACAUAAAACCGAAAUCCUAGCAAAAACCCUAGUACUAUAAAUCGCGGAUGCUAAAACCCUAAAACUUAACCGCGAAAUCCUAAUAUCCUAAUCUAGUAUGAUCCGAUUGUUUGGUUGUUGUAUACUAGAUCAAUCUUCUAGGGUUGAUUUCAUCCAUAUAUAUAUAACAUGAUUGUUUAGAAAACACUUGCUGAAGACAAGCAUGACUCGGUCUUAAAUACCGCAUGACUUGGUCUAACCGAUUACAUGAGUUCUCAUUUAACUCUAUAUAUUAUAGAUAUCAGAAAUCAACUAUUAUGAAUACACGGCACUCAAUGCCUCUGGUGACAAUUAUUUACAAUGGGCUUUGGACACCGAGAUUGUCCUAAAGGAAAAAGAGCUUGGUGAAUCUAUUAUGGAAGGAAACAAUAUCACCAGAAGAGAAAGAUAUAAGGCGAUUACUAACAUACGCCAUCACCUCAAUGAGAGUCUCAAAAUCAGUACCUCACUAUUAAGAAUCCUCUGGACCUCAGGACAGAGUUGAAAAAAAAAAAAAAAAAACGGUGCUAUUACCCAAAAGCCCGAUUCGAUCGAAAGAAUCUCAGAUUCUAAUAAUUCAAAUCCAUGAAUGAGUAUAACUCAGCACUAUUUAAAAUAGUGUCAAUACUGAGAUUCCGUGGUGAGGAAAUUAC